AGUAAAUCACAGAAUGAGGAUCCAGGGUAAAUGAUAUUCUACUCUGAUACUUCCCCCUGAUUGAAGACAGUUGAGGGGCGCGAGCCAAGUAUGACGCGGUCCGUACAAGGAAGUUACACCGUGUUUACUGUAGGAAUACAAAUGUUGUUUAUCGUUUUGUUUCAUGGAUUAUGAAUGUUAAUAAGGGGAAUUUAAUUUACUACUUUGUAGUACUAUUUACUUUCUUUUUGUUGUACGGUUUAGUUUAUUACUAUUUACUUUCUCUUUGUUGUACGGUUUAGUUUAUUACUAUUUACUUUCUCUUUGUUGUUCGUUUAGUUUAUUACUAUUUACUUUCUCUUUGUUGUACGGUUUAGUUUAUUACUAUUUACUUUCUCUUUGUUGUUCGUUUAGUUUAUUACUAUUUACUUUCUCUUUGUUGUACGGUUUAGUUUAUUACUAUUUACUUUCUCUUUGUUGUUCGUUUAGUUUAUUACUAUUUACUUUCUCUUUGUUGUACGGUUUAGUUUAUUACUAUUUACUUUCUCUUUGUUGUACGGUUUAGUUUAUUCAUUUUUUUCUACAUUCAUACUCAGUAACUACUUAGAAAUUGAAAAAGCUAAUUUUUUUAUACAGUUAAAUACAUUCUACAUAGAUGUAUGAGUACUUUAAUUUCUUUAGAAAUGAAAGCUACUUUUAAAAUACAAUGGAAUAUUAUCUAAAAUGUAUACAAUACCCCUAACCUGCCAGAACGAACUAUAAUGAAGGACCAUGAUUGAUCGAAUGUAUAUUGUUUAACGUUCUUCUCGAAAAAAAUUUCACUCAUAUGCACUGUCAUGAUCGUGUGCAGGAUUGGACAAAACAAGAUGGCAGACGGCAUUUCCAAACAAAGGUAUCAAGCCCAAGAACUUCAUUCCAUGAGAUGGGUACACUUCGAAUGUGCGAAAUUUGUGGUGAGGAAUUCAAGACCAAUUCUGAAUUGCGUAGGCAUGUAAAAAGGAAACUUCAAUCAGAGAAAUUGUCUUCGUUUGUGACCAGUGCAACACACGCUUUUGCACAUUAUAAAAGAAACAUGAAGUAAAAAAAAUUACAUUGUUUUCUGAAUACACGAAGUGCAUACAUAUACCAUGGCAGCCGUUUUUUAUAUCCGUUUAUGUACAUUAUGAAACGAUUAUUUUUACGGUAUUAUGCUUUGUUUUACAGAGAUACUACUAAUCUUUUACAUUGCAUUUUACACAUGUUGAUUUGUUAUUUCAUUGAACCAGAAGUGUUCUUAAUUUUUACUUGUUAUUAAAUAUAUUUCAAAUU